rfam:Ricinus communis cultivar Hale ctg_1100012359605, whole genome shotgun sequence.
AAACCAUGAUGUGGACAACUCAUCAGUAAAUCCUUGAAUUGUUCCCAACAAUUAUACAAAGUUUCAUUCUCUUGCUGAAGAUACCCUGCUAUAUCAUUCUUCAACUU